CCAAUAGCGUAUAUUAAAGUUGUUGCAGUUAAAAAGCUCGUAGUUGAAUUUCGGGAUCAAUGGGUUGGUCAUGCCCUCGGUAUGUACUGAUUUCAUUGGUUCUCACCUUCUAAGGAACCAUGAUGUCAUUCGUUUGAUGUUGUGGGGAAUUAGGACUGUUACCUUGAAAAAAUUAGAGUGUUUAAAGCAGGCUAACGCUUGAAUACAUUAGCAUGGAAUAAUGAAAUAGGACAUCCGAUUCUAUUUUGUUGGUUUCUAGGAUCGAUGUAAUGAUUAAUAGGGAUAGUUGGGGGCAUUAGUAUUCAAUUGUCAGAGGUGAAAUUCUUGGAUUUAUUGAAGACUAACUACUGCGAAAGCAUUUGCCAAGGAUGUUUUCAUUAAUCAAGAACGAAAGUUAGAGGAUCGAAGACGAUCAGAUACCGUCGUAGUCUUAACCAUAAACUAUGCCGACUAGGGAUCGGAUGAUGCUUAUUUUUUAAUGACUCAUUCGGCACCUUACG
rnacentral:rRNA from 1 species